UUCCUCGGGUUGGCGAGUUUCUUCCGCCGGUUCUGCCCGAACUUCGCAGAAGCAGCCGCCCUUCUAACAGGACUAAUCAGUGGAACUGCCAAAUUUAAGUGGACACCAGACUGUCAACGGGCAUUUGAUCAACACAAGACUUUCUGGACUUCUCUCGACCAUUUUCUCUGCAAACCGACGCCAGCGACAUCGCCUCAGGGGCAGUCCUCCUAGUGGAGAAGAAUGUAAUCUAUCAUCCGGUGGCCUAUCACUCAGCCAAAUUCAGCAACCACCAGAGGAAUUACAGCACCAUCGAGAAGAAAAUGCUCUCAUUUGUCUCAGCAAUUCAAAAGCUUAAAUGCUACCUGCACACCAGCGUCAAGCCCCUGCAGGUAUUCACUGACUGCAAUCCUCUGACAUUCCUACAGCGAAACAAGUUUACCAACCAGCGUCUUCUCCGGUGCUCACUUCUUCUUCAGCCCUAUGAUGUGACCAUCCGACACAUAAAAGGCUCUGAAAAUAUCAUCGCAGACACCCUCUCGCGAAUUCACCUCUGAUUCUGACGCGGGCCUCUCCAUUUUUCAUUCCUCCACCGUCACCAAGGUUCUUGUUACCGGGUGUCGACGUCCUCAGGUGGGGAGGUAUUACAGCCCUCGUACCAGCCUCACCAACCACUAAUCUCUCCGAAUAACCAUCGGCUUCGAAUACCGUCUCGACUACACCGUGCCGGUACCAUAAAGACGAAGCUUUAGAAACACGUCUCGACUCGCGUCUCGAUCGAGGUAACCGAGCUGACCUCUGACUUCCAUCUCCACACCAUGUCAGUCUCACUUGCUUCUCGCAGUUGGAGCCAUCUUCCAUCCUGCUGCUUGGAUUCGCUUUGUUCCUCACCAUGUACUUGGACUUGCUUUUGGCGGUUAUGACGUGUCACAUCAUCAGCGUACAUGAUAUCGAGACACAGAGGACCGGCAACAGAGACAACAUGGUGUCUCCUUGGAUAGCCUUCCACAUGGCAGCUGUGAUGGUGACUGCAGAUCUUACAGGUGGUCAAGAAAGUGACGUCGAUAAUGUGGGAGAUAUGAUAAAACGUGUCGUGAACCAGGAUCUUGCAUUUUGUGAUCUUAUGGUGUUCACUACAGCAACCUACUCUCAAGUGUUCUCCAGUAUACGCAGGUUGAUGAAAUAAUGUCAUAUUGGUUGUAAAAAAUAAAUAAAUAAAUAAAUAAAUAAUGAUAAUAAAAUAAACCAUGUAAUAGGUGCUUUAAUCUGUGGA